AGUGAACGCUGGCGGUAGGCCUAACACAUGCAAGUCGAACGGCAGCACAGUAAGAGCUUGCUCUUACGGGUGGCGAGUGGCGGACGGGUGAGGCAUACAUCGGAAUCUACUUUUUCGUGGGGGAUAACGUAGGGAAACUUACGCUAAUACCGCAUACGACCUACGGGUGAAAGCAGUGGAUCUUCGGACCUUGCGCGAUUGAAUUAGCCGAUGUCGGAUUAGCUAGUUGGCGGGGUAAAGGCCCACCAAGGCGACGAUCCGUAGCUGGUCUGAGAGGAUUAUCAGCCACACUGGAACUGAGACACGGUCCAGACUCCUACGGGAGGCAGCAGUGGGGAAUAUUGGACAAUGGGCGCAAGCCUGAUCCAGCAAUACCGCGUGGGUGAAGAAGGCCUUCGGGUUGUAAAGCCCUUUUGUUGGGAAAGAAAAGCAGCAGGUUAAUACCCCGCUGUUCUGACGGUACCCAAAGAAUAAGCACCGGCUAACUUCGUG
rnacentral:rRNA from 1 species